rnacentral:misc_RNA from 1 species
CAAGUUUCAGUUUUUUUUACAUCUGUCAAAAAGCCGUUCGUAUGCUCUAUUGAUGGGUGUCGAAUUUCUGUAAAAAAUAUAUUUUGUCGGCUUUCUUUGUGGUUUAACAUCUUUCCCGUCAACUGAAAAUGGUUUAAUUACAAUCCUGUGCUAAAAAUUAACUUUUUUGACUGUGCGGUGACUAUCGUAAAGUUGUAAACAAAUCCAAAAUGUCCGUUCCCAGCACUGGAUUGAGCAAGUUGAAGAAGAAACACAUUCGUGUGAAACAUCAAAAAGUGAAAUUGUUCCGUGCUAAUGAACCGUUACUGUCCGUUUUUAUGUGGGGUGUGAAUCACACGAUAAACGAGCUAAGUCAUGUCUCUAUACCAGUCAUGCUGCUGCCUGAUGAUUUCAGAGCUUACUCCAAGCUCAAAGUUGAUAACCACUUAUUUAACAAAGAAAACAUGCCAUCCCAUUUCAAGGUGAAGGAGUACUGUCCACUUGUGUUCAGAAACCUGCGCGAGCGCUUCGGAAUCGACGACCUGGACUACAAAGAGUCACUCACAAGGUUUAGAAAGCCAGAUAACUACCUAUGCUCGCGGGUGCAGAAGAGGUUUACCAGUAACCUGAGGCGGUCGGCCACCGUCCCUACCGGGGUGGGCAGCGUGAAAAGCGACCACCACGACAGCAUAUUCCACGACGCGAGCGCGUUUGUCAAACGCGGCCUGACGAUCAAACGGCUGAGAUCUCAGCCGAUCCCCGACGAGUCGUCCGGCAAGUCGGGCGCCAAGUUCUAUCAGAGCUACGACCGGCUGUUCAUCUUGAAGACCCUCACGUCAGAGGAGGUGGAACGGAUGCAUUCCUUCCUCAAGCAUUAUCAUCCGUACAUAGUUGAGCGGCACGGCAAGACAUUGCUGCCGCAGUACCUGGGCAUGUACCGGCUGACGGUGGACGGCAUCGAGCACUACCUCGUCGCCACCAGGAAUGUGUUCUCCAACCACCUCAACAUACACAGGAAGUACGACCUGAAAGGGUCGACGGUGGACCGUGAGGCUUCUGAGAAGGAGCUGGAAAAGGAACUGCCGACGCUCAAAGACAACGACUUCAUCAAGCACGGCGUGCGCAUCGACAUCGGCGAGGCCGCCAAGGAGAAACUGCUUGAGACUCUUACUGCCGAUGUUGAGUUCCUAACGAAGCUGCACCUGAUGGACUACUCGCUGCUGCUGGGCAUGCACGAGUGCGGGCGCGGCGAGGCGGAGGCCGAGGCGGCGCGCGCGCAGCUGCGGGACUCCGACUGCAACGACUCCGACUCCGACUCCGACACCGACAACAGGCAUGGCGAGAGGUGGGGCUACAACACGCCCCCGGACAGCCCGCGCGGGCUGGCGCGGCAGUGCUCGCUGCGCUACGAGGGCAUCAUCCCCGAGCUGGACAUCUACGCCAUACCCAGCCAGGAGGGUGCGGCCAAGAAAGAGAUAUAUUUCGUUGCGUUGAUUGACGUCCUCACGCAUUAUGGUGUAAAGAAACAGGCGGCGAAAGCGGCGAAGACAGUGAAAUACGGGAGCAAUGUGGACGGGAUAUCUACAUGUGACCCCGAACAAUACGGCAAGAGGUUCAUAGAGUUCGUCGCCAAGGCCAUCGACGGCAACUAAACGGUUACACGGAUGCUUCUUUUAGUACCACCCAACCAAGGUACAUACAUGGUACGGUACGGUCACGAGCAUUAAUAUGUAUACACUUUGGUACCAUGUCACAUUAACUUUUUUGACAAAUUGAACUGUAAGUCUCACUAAAUGUCAAAUAUGUUUGUGCGACAGAGUCCUAAAGUGGGUACAUUAUAUUGCUCAUGA